ACUCAGUAAUCGAGACAGAGAGGUACUUAAUAACAUUUUUAGAAAUCAAAAUUAAUGCAGAAAAAUCCAUAAUGAACAAAGUGUUAAAAUUUUAAACCGGGAUCAAUACAAGUUAAAAGUCCUGCCAGCCUAGGUAUUAUCUUUAGAACAAACUCCGAGUCCUGCAAGCACAUGCCCAACCCGCCGUGCCGGCUGCGUCCCCAGCGCCUUCCCUUAGCGGGGAGGACGAACUCAGUCGGGGUCAGAAGAAACCACGAGAAUCCAAGUUCUCCAUUCCAUAAAGGAUUGUCGGACACAGAAGGGGGGGCGCAAGGUGCUUAGAUGUGCCUCAAUUUCCUCUCUAGCCCCCCUGCCCAAAGCUUAAUUUCCCCCACGCCACCCUCCGCUAUCACGGGGCGUAGACGUGGAGCUGGGAGCCAGCAGUGUGGCCCUCGUGCCUGUGCCAGAGGCCGGAGUUCAGGGGAUCGAGGCCACCUGCCAACACAGAGCCACCGGAAACCAACCACCAGAAACAGUCCCUGGGGCCAAGGACGGCCCCUGGGUCACAGAUGUCAACCUCCGGUACAAGGGACACGGGCCUCCCUCCUUCCGAACACCUGGAAACCACCUGAGGGAGGAAAGCAGGGCAAGGUACGUGCGUUAACGGAGGGGCCUUCAAGCAGAGCGGACCCAGAGCUGAGUCGGCUGGUGACAGCGGCCCGCGGCCCCUCCCCCCCCGCACACCUGGCGUGGCUGGGCCCCCAGCUGGGCUGCCGCUUCCAGGUGGGCUCAGGAAGCCUCACGCGCACUCGUCCGCGCUCCCCCCGCCCCGGCAGGAAGGUGACCGGAGCCACCGUGGCCACGUGGGCCAGACCCCCAAGUGACACGUGGAGGGGGCCGCGGCCGGGGUACCCGAGUGCCUGAAGCACAACCCCCCGUGACUGUCCUGGGAACCAGAAAUACACUUGGUUUGAGCCACUGCACCCCAAGGCUUACUUGUUUAGGCAGCUCGCCAGCUCACCAGGAGAGAUGGCAUCAGCCAGACCGCGGAGAGCACGGGGGUCUUGGCGGACGAAUUCCGAGCCGGGAGCCGCUCCGGUUUAGAACGACUGCUCUGCCCUCUGCACACACCGCGUCAGCAAGUCUUGCGAUCGGAUUAUACUCGAGCCCUCCCCCUCGUUGCCCUCCCGGGAACCGGGAGAGGACAGAGUGACCUUGACCUUGGAGAGGCCACUCCCUUGGCAUAAAGGUGCUGGGAGUAAACAGAAGAGCUUGUGGUCUAGUUUUAUAUGAAAGAUUUAGGAGGAUGAGACUAUUUGCUUCAAUGACCCUCCCUCAGUAGGCUGGGCCAGGCUGCCUGUGAUGAAGUCUGAACCUCUGCCCUACCCGCGCCCCGCCUCCUGGCUGGGUUCUUCAUUCCACAGAUCCGACUGGCCACACCUCCAUUUUGCUUUUCAGCCACGCCAACUUACUUCCAGAGUAGCUAAGAUACAAAAUCCUGAAUCCAGUUUGGAAAGAUCUGGGCGACGAGGAAUGACGACAAGAAAUCUGACAAUGGCAGGUUUUAUUUAUACACAGAACAACCUAUUUACAACCCCAGGUUGGGUCUGUACACAGCAAUACAGGAGGCAUUUGCUUCCACGGCGGGCACCGUAUAAAUUAAGAUCAUAAAUAUGAGGGGUAAGCCCCGCCCGAGGG